GUAAUUCUGGUUAAAAUCCAGGCAGACGUGUGUGAGUGUGUUUGCUGGGGGUGGGGUUGCUGAGGUUUACACGGGCGUGCACAGGGUGAGACGACCUUGAGGAAGCCCAGAGUGAGGGACCCAGGCCACCAGGUGCCAGAGCCCCCGGUAAAGCCGCAGGAGUAAGGACUGGGAGACACAGCCAUCGGUGAAGUGGAAUGGAGUCAAGAAACAGACACACACACGGACUCUUGAUCUACAGCAGACUCAGGAUUGCAGAUCAGGGAACGGGGGACCUCUGCGAAUGUGCCAGCUCAGUUGCAGAUGCAUAUGGAGAAUGGGAACUGGAGCUGCACGUUAUCCCACACGCAGUCUGCAGAUGCAAACGCGGAGGCUGAAACAGACACAUCUGGAAGAAAUCACGGGAGGAACGUCUUCCCCGCUGUGCCUAAGAUCCGUGGGUGAACAAGACCAGGUCCCUGUCUGGAAGGGGUUUCAUUUGGGGGUGCACAGGGGGUGCGGAACCAAAAAUCACCAAGCAAGCCAGUGAAGCAGAGAGCUGGGAAGUGGGUGUUCCCACAGGCAAGGAAGGUGGGGAACACAGGCAGGCACGUGUGUGUGCAAGGACACCAAACGUGGAACUGCAGAGCCACGCCUGGCAGCAGCAACCGUCCCGACCAGUCAGCACUGGCCUGUACAGGCACGGAAUGAGGUGCCGCUGUUGAAAUCAGGUCUGUCUGAAUCCGUGUGGAAUGUGGAAGGAACCACAUGUGCAGCAGCGCUGGCAUACCGUGUGAAUGCGAGAGGAUGGUGAGUCCCACACCGUGCCACGGAGGGGGAAAGGCAGCGCAGUGAGGCAGCCAGAUGGUGAGUCCCACCAGUGCCACGGAGGGGGAAGGGCAGCGCAGUGAGGCAGCCAGAUGGUGAGUCCCACCAGUGCCAUGGAGGGGGAAGGGCAGCGCAGUGAGGCAGCCAGAUGGUGAGUCCCACCAGUGCCACGGAGGGGGAAGGGCAGCGCAGUGAGGCGGCCGGUGGCUUGGACCCAUCCUGUGACCCAGCCUUGGCACUGCACUUCACGCGGGUUUCUCUGCUUCUGCCACAACUCGGAGGACGGAGGCUGUUGGAUGAGGUGCCAGGACUGCUGAUGAGGAGGCCUGGUGGACGAGGGUCCCGGACCUGCGCUCACAGAAACACCCAUCUGCUCCGCAGUCACACAGAGCCUCAGGACAGGGGGAGGUCUGGAAACCGUGUGAAGACAGCUGGGGAUGCAUCUGCAAACUGAGGGGUCACGAUGGCUGGGGGACCCCCAGGAGCUGGGGGAGGCCUGGAGCAGCCUCUCCCCUACAGCCUCAGGAGGAACCAGCCUGCCGAACCCUGACCUCGCACUUCUGGCCCCCAGAGCUGUGAGAUAAUAAAUGUCUGUUGUUUAAGC
rnacentral:lncRNA from 13 species